rnacentral:rRNA from 1 species
AAAGACUUGACGGUGCUUCACAACAACCUAGAGGAGCCUGUCUAAUAACCGAUACUCCACGAUUAACCCAACCCGCUCUCGCCUAUCAGUCUAUAUACCGCCGUCGCCAGCUUACCUUGUGAAAGAAAAAAAGUAAACCUAACAGGCUACCCCUAACACGACAGGUCGAGGUGUAACAAAUGAGCGGGUAAAAGAUGGGCUACAUUUUCUAAAACAGAAUAUACGAAUAAACUAUGAAACUAGAAACUGAAGGCGGAUUUAGCAGUAUGUUAAGAACAAAACACCUAACCGAAACUAAUGCAAUGAAGUGCGUACACACCGCCCGUCAUCCCUG